GGAAGGAUCAUUACAGAAUUGUCAACGGGUUGUUGCUGGUCCUCAAACGGGGACACGUGCACGCUCUGUUUACACAUCCACUCACACCUGUGCACCCUCUGUAGUUCUACGGUCUGGGGGACCCUGUCUUCCUGCCGUGGUUCUACGUCUUUACACACACACUGUAAUAAAGUCUUAUGGAAUGUAUGCCGCGUCUAACGCAAUACAAUACAACUUUCAGCAACGGAUCUCUUGGCUCUCGCAUCGAUGAAGAACGCAGCGAAAUGCGAUAAGUAAUGUGAAUUGCAGAAUUCAGUGAAUCAUCGAAUCUUUGAACGCACCUUGCGCCCCUUGGCUAUUCCGAGGGGCAUGCCUGUUUGAGUAUCAUGAACACCUCAACUCUCAUGGUUCGCCGUGAUGAGUUUGGACUCUGGGGGUUUUGCUGGCCUGUGGUCGGCUCCCCUCAAAUGAAUCAGCCUCCCAGUGUUUGGUGGCAUCACGGGUGUGAUAAAUAUCUACGCUCGCAGUUGUCUGCCAGGUAACCUUUGGUGACAAAGGUUCGCUGGAGCUCACAGAUGUCUCUCCUCGGUGAGGACAGCUUUUUGAACGUUCGAUCUCAAAUCAGGUAGGACUACCCGCUGAACUUAAGCAUAUCAAUAAG
rnacentral:sRNA from 1 species